rnacentral:rRNA from 1 species
AGUGAACGCUGGCGGCAUGCCUUACACAUGCAAGUCGAACGGUAACAGGUCUUCGGAUGCUGACGAGUGGCGAACGGGUGAGUAAUACAUCGGAACGUGCCUAGUAGUGGGGGAUGACUACUCGAAAGAGUGGCUAAUACCGCAUGAGAUCUACGGAUGAAAGCAGGGGAUCGCAAGACCUUGUGCUACUAGAGCGGCCGAUGGCAGAUUAGGUAGUUGGUGGGAUAAAAGCUUACCAAGCCGACGGUCUGUAGCUGGUCUGAGAGGACGAUCAGCCACACUGGGACUGAGACACGGCCCAGACUCCUACGGGAGGCAGCAGUGGGGAAUUUUGGACAAUGGGCGCAAGCCUGAUCCAGCAAUGCCGCGUGCAGGAUGAAGGCCUUCGGGUUGUAAACUGCUUUUGUACGGAACGAAAAGCCCCGGGUUAAUACCCUGGGGUCAUGACGGUACCGUAAGAAUAAGCACCGGCUAACUACGUGCCAGCCGCCGCGGUAA